AUCAUUUAUUCGAUAAAAUGGCUGAGGUUAGGCAAUAAAUUGUAAAUUUAUUCACGAAAGUAAAAUUUUCUUUUAUCA
rnacentral:tRNA from 1 species